rnacentral:misc_RNA from 1 species
UGGCAAAUGUAUUUGUAAAUUUACAA